rnacentral:rRNA from 1 species
GAUGAACGCUGGCGGCGUGCUUAACACAUGCAAGUCGAACGAUGAAGCCCAGCUUGCUGGGUGGAUUAGUGGCGAACGGGUGAGUAACACGUGAGUAACCUGCCCUUAACUCUGGGAUAAGCCUGGGAAACAGGGUCUAAUACCGGAUAGGAGCGUCCACCGACUGGAGGGUGUUGGAAAGAUUUAUCGGUUUUGGGUGGACUCGCGGCCUAUCAGCUUGGUGGUGAGGUAAUGGCUCACCAAGGCGACGACGGGUAGCCGGCCUGGGAGGGUGACCGGCCACACUGGGCCUGAGACACGGCCCAGACUCCAACGUGAGGCAGCAGUGGGGAAUAUUGCACAAUGGGCGCAAGCCUGAUGCAGAGACGCCGCGUGCGGGAUGACGGCCUUCGGGUUGUAAACCUAUUUCUGUGGGGAAGAAGCGAAAGUGACGGUACCUGCACAAGAAGCACCGGCUAACUACGUG